GAUGAACCUGCGCUUAAUUGCCGGGCCGCUGGGUCCGGGAAGCGGGGGAACCAAGUUUUUGGGGCGUAUCAUGUGAUCAUGUAGGGGACCAUCUACCCCGAGCCCGACAGCUAACCUCGUCAGCGGAAGAUGGGUCGGAGC
rnacentral:sRNA from 2 species